UACGUAGGGGGCGAGCGUUGUCCGGAUUUAUUGGGCGUAAAGAGCGUGUAGGCGGCCAGGUAGGUCUGCUGUGAAAACUCGAGGCUCAACCUCGAGACGUCGGCGGAAACCAUCUGGCUAGAGUCCGGAAGAGGAGAGUGGAAUUCCUGGUGUAGCGGUGAAAUGCGCAGAUAUCAGGAGGAACACCGGUGGCGAAGGCGGGUCUCUGGGACGGUACUGGCGCUGAGACGCGAAAGCGUGGGGAGCAAACAGG
rnacentral:rRNA from 1 species